CUUAGCUCAGAGGUUGUACUUCUUCUUUGGACAUCAAGGACAAGGCACGUUAAGGAAAGGCUUGGGACUACGGGAAAGCUCGUAUAUUUUGAAUGACAAAGUACUUGGAAACGCUAGUGUUCAAUUUUAAUUGCUCAAGGGAGAAAACAAAGCAGGAAGAGAUUUACUCCUCUCUGGAUCUCUGGCUCAACCUAGGUCUGGAGCUUCCACAAAGGAAACACUCAGGACAUGGUAGCUCAAAUGGAAAAAAAGUACACUGAGGUGAAGAGACUGGAGGAAGUUAAGCUCUGAACCAGGUGCUGCCAGUAUGCUACUCAAGAACACACAACGCAGGAGCAGUUAGCAAGUAUUCUUACUGGAAGUGUGAAAUCGGAAGCUGAAAAAGUAGAGGCAACAGCUUUCAAAUGUUCUCAACCGCUGAGCUUGAAAGUGGGGAAAAGGGGUGCAGCUAUGCCAAAGCAGCACCCCCUACCUGACAGAGAUGUGUGAGCAUUGAGAAUGUGCUCAGUGAGGGGAACAGGGACCCUAAAAUGCUAUGUAAUCAGAUUACUUAAAUACAUCAACUUAGAAACAACAGGAGGAAAACUUUACUAAUGAAGCUAAAAUAGAGAAGAGGAAGAUAAAUCCAACAAGGACACACUGAGUCCUAUGGAUACCACAAGCUUCGAGGACAUCCACUGGGAGAGCGGAGCAAGGAACCAAAGCUGAGGUAACCCAUGCAGCAAUGUUGUAUAGAAGAAUAUACAAAGAGCAAAAAUCGUUCUAUCACGGAGGUCAGUAAACUGUGGCCCAAGGGCCAAAUCUUGCCCACCACUUGUUUUGGAAAUAAAGCCUUACUGAAACAUAGCCCCAUCCAUUCAUUUAUGUACUUGUUCAUGCUGCUUUCAGGCUGCAAUGACAGUUAAGUCAUUGCAAGAGAAACUGUAAGGCAUGAAAUGCUUAAAAAAUAUUUACUAUCUGGCCCUUUACAGAUACAGUUUGCUGAUCCUUGCUCCAACAGAAAAUGUGGUACCUUAACCAAAAGACCUAG